rnacentral:rRNA from 1 species
GACGAACGCUGGCGGCGUGCUUAACACAUGCAAGUCGAACGGAAAGGCCCUGCUUUUGUGGGGUGCUCGAGUGGCGAACGGGUGAGUAACACGUGAGUAACCUGCCCUUGACUUUGGGAUAACUUCAGGAAACUGGGGCUAAUACCGGAUAGGAGCUCCUGCUGCAUGGUGGGGGUUGGAAAGUUUCGGCGGUUGGGGAUGGACUCGCGGCUUAUCGGCUUGUUGGUGGGGUAGUGGCUUACCAAGGCUUUGACGGGUAGCCGGCCUGAGAGGGUGACCGGCCACAUUAGGACGGAGAUACGGCCCAGACUCCUACGGGAGGCAGCAGUGGGGAGUAGUGCACAGUGGGCGGAAGCCUGAUGCGGCCACGCCGCGUGCGGGAUGACGGCCUUCGGGUUGUAAACCGCUUUCGCCUGUGACGAAGCGUGAGUGACGGUAAUGGGUAAAGAAGCACCGGCUAACUACGUG